UAAAGCGCAAUUUGCAGCGAUAGCCGGUUUUUCUAAUGUAAUCGGAGCAAUUGACUGCACACAUAUUGCUAUAAAGGCGCCAUCUGAAGAAGAAUUUGCAUAUGUGAAUCGGAAACAUUUUCAUUCAAUAAAUGUGCAGAUUAUAUGUGAUGCACAAAUGCGCCUAACAAAUAUUGUGGCAAGGUGGCCUGGGGCAACCCAUGAUUCAUAUAUCCUUACAAACAGCAUGGUUGGGAUGAGACUCCAAGCUGGCAGGGUGCGCGAUGGGUGGCUACUUGGCGACAGUGGUUAUCCACUAAAGACGUGGCUGUUAACCCCCCUCACCAACCCACAAACUGAUCGAGAGCGCAGAUACAAUGAUGCCCAUUCUCGCACUCGGUCAGUUGUGGAGCGGGCGAUUGGGCAGCUGAAAUGUCGAUGGCGCUGCCUUGAGCGGACCGGGGGGAUGCUGUUAUACCGCCCUGACAAGGUUUGCCGCAUCAUACUGGCCUGUGGAGUGCUGCACAAUGUCGCGCACUUGCAUGGCAUACCCCUUGGUGAGGUAAGGGCACUGCCAGAUGACCCUGACCCAGGACCAGUAUAUGUGCAGCACAAUCAACAAGCCAUUCAGGCCCGUCAACGUGUAAUUGCGACAAUAUUAAAUGAACAGCAUUCGUCAAGACGCGGCCAGAUGGACGGGCUUCAGCACUGGGGGGAGCAUUAGAGACACCGGAGACGGUCGGCUGAAUGGGCUCUGGCUGCUCGGGUGGUGCGGACUCUGAGUGCGUGCCAGUGGAUGUUCCUACUGUUGUUCCUGUGGUUCCUAAGUCAAAAUAAACACAGGCACA